CUUUGCAAAUGCCCCUUGCAUUUAUUUGUUUAUAUGAAGACUCACUGAAUCGAAGAUCCACGAAGGCCUGCAGUCUGCGUGUUUGAUCCCCAGUGACUAAGGUCCAUGUGCGGGCUCACUGAGGCAUAGCGCUGAUUGAGAGUUGAAAUGUUUAUUUAAAACAGAAAUGCCAAACCACUCCACCCUCAACCUUUCAAACAUCUGGCUAACAAUAAGCUAAUUCUUCAGCAACAACGUCAGAGCAAAGGAGUAACUCAGGUUAUACUAUAAUGCAAAAGCAAUACUACUGGAAAACUUAAAACACCUAGCACUACAUAAAGAAGAAAAGUAGGACACAAUUUAAAAUUAGCUACAGAAAACCAGUUAAAGGCAUUUCUGCUGCCUCACCUUUCACUUCUUAUCUGAUGUGUGGCUGCCACCUAUGAACUGGUUUCUGUUUGCAUAGCUUUCUGGUGGGAAAAAUCAUAUGGCUGUCCCAGGCACAAUUUGGGAAAGUGCAAAUUGUCUCUAAGGCACAGAACUUAGAUUCUC
rnacentral:lncRNA from 1 species